AUGGAUUUCCUGAGACCCUGCUGGGCACUGACCCCUGUGUUGGGCCCUAGGAAUUCACAGAUGAGCGAUUCAGAAUCACUGCCCACUAAGAACUCAGUCAAGUGGUGGUGGAGAUUGCUGCGGGAAAGGGUUCCAGAGCCAUAUGCUACUCUCCUCGUCAGAUUGUACCCUCCUUGGGAGCAGAGUCUCCUGACCUCAUAUCCCUCACAGCAGAGUGAUUGUGAUAAAGCUAUUGAUGGUGAAGAGACGGAUCAUUCUGAUUACAAUUAUGAUCAAUGGGAACAGCAUGGUGUAGCAGCAAAAGCACUAAUCUUGGACUCAAACAGCAAAGGUUCAGUUUCCAGCUCUGCCUCUUACAUUCUGUGCAACCUUGGCCACAUCACAGCACGCUAAGGCGAGAAGGCCACUUGAGCCCAUCUAAUCCACCUCCUCGUCUGACAAAUGAGGCAAUUCGGGCCCAGAGAGGUGAGGUGACAUCCCCCGCUCCCCGACCUGGUUAGUGUGGCAGACUGGGUGAAAGCCAGGCCCCCUGGCACCCAGUUCAGACAUUUCCCCUCCUCAGCAUGUUUAGUCUCUUGGGAAGGGAGCUUAGAUUCCUUUGCUGUGUGUAUGCACAUGCACACGUGUGUUGUGCAUGUGUACAUGCACACACAUGCCUGUGUGUGUGUGUGUGUGUGUGUGUGUGUGUUCUUCUGGGCAUUUUCCCAAAAGCAUCUACCAGCAGAGCAGCCAGCCCAAUUUUCAAAGAGCCAUUUUACAAGAAGUCAGGCCCUGGGUGUCUGUCUGUAAUCUUUUGCCUGUCCCUCGACAAGCCAAGGCUGAGGAUUGCUGUGGAUUGGCUGUGGCUGGACAAGGAGUUGAAAUGCGUAAUAUUUGCCUAGUUUUUAAUGUCUGGUGUCCAUAGCUUGCACUUCCAUCAUUCUAUUAUAUUGAUGACAGGCAGGCCCAAGCCACAGAGAAGAAACAAAUUACCUAAUAAAUCAAGGCCCCAGGAUCUAAAGUGGACA
rnacentral:lncRNA from 1 species